rnacentral:rRNA from 1 species
GUGCCAGCCGCCGCGGUAAGACAGAGGUGCCAAGCGUUAGGCGGAAUCACUGGGCUUAAAGCGUGUGUAGGCGGCCUUCUAAGUGCUUUGUGAAAUCCCACGGCUCAACCGUGGAAUGGCUUGGCAUACUGGGAGGCUUGAGCCAUCUAGGGGCAACUGGAACAAACGGUGGAGCGGUGAAAUGCGUAGAUAUCGUUUGGAACGCCAAUGGUGAAAACAGGUUGCUGGGGAUGUGCUGACGCUGAGACACGAAAGCCAGGGGAGCAAACGGGAUUAGAAACCCCAGUAGUCC